rnacentral:rRNA from 1 species
UACGUAGGGUGCGAGCGUUGUCCGGAAUUAUUGGGCGUAAAGGGCUCGUAGGCGGUUUGUCGCGUCGGGAGUGAAAACCUCGGGCUUAACUCGGGGCUUGCUUUCGAUACGGGCAGACUAGAGGUAUGCAGGGGAGAACGGAAUUCCUGGUGUAGCGGUGAAAUGCGCAGAUAUCAGGAGGAACACCGGUGGCGAAGGCGGUUCUCUGGGCAUGAUCUGACGCUGAGGAGCGAAAGCGUGGGGAGCAAACAGG